ACAAGAAGAAGUGAGUUCAGUCGUCAUUUAAUAGCACAACAAUGUGGUCAUAUCUGGGAAUAUGGGUACUGUUACUGGUGACAAUAAUCAAAGCCUAUCCGAACUUGAAUCAUCGCCCAGAGGUGUCGAAUGGCUGCAGAGUGACGGUGCGUCGCUGGUACUCGUUAAAGGAUCAAUAUUAUGAGGAAUGCUGCCAAGAGUUCACUUCAAUCGGCCUUGAAGAUUUUUGCGCAAACUGCGAAUCGAAGUCCAGGCAGAAAGCAACAAUUACAAUCAAAGAGGAUUUUUCCAAAGUAUAUAGUGAAUUGAUUAAUGGAUUUAAUACAUAUUUAAAUCGUGACCCCAUUUCAAAUGGCCUACAAGUUUUCUGCUCGCAGUUCGAUUCAAAGUUCUGGCAGAAUGUAACUGAAGUGGACAGAGUAUUUGCUCCUCCGUGUAAUAGGGAUCAUAAAAGGAAGUGUAAGAGGAUGAUAUUUAAAUCUUAACAUUAUAUUAGAUGUUCAUCUAUGCAACAGAAAUUGUCAUUGACAUGAAAAUAUUAAUGAACAAUCAAAAUAAAUUAAAUGUUGUAUUAUUAACUAAGUAAAUAAAUGUUGAAAAAUUAA